rnacentral:lncRNA from 1 species
GAAACAUGGAAGCAUAAUGAAAUUAUUUUUCUGUCCUUCAGAGACGGUGCCGAGACCUCAAGGCCAAGGGAAUUUUAUUUGUGGGGAGCGGAGUCAGUGGUGGAGAGGAAGGGGCCCGGUAUGGCCCAUCGCUCAUGCCAGGAGGGAACAAAGAAGCGUGGCCGCACAUCAAGACCAUCUUCCAAGGCAUUGCUGCAAAAGUAGGAACUGGAGAACCCUGCUGUGACUGGGC